rnacentral:tRNA from 1 species
ACAUUGUUGGUUCAGUGGUAGAAUUCUUGCCUUCCACCCAGGAUACCCAGGCUCGAUUCCUGGCCAGCGUA